UGGGGUGUAGCUCAAUUGGCGGAGCACCCGGCUGUUAACCGGGAGGUUGGAGGUUCGAAUCCUCCCGCCCCAG
rfam:Gemmatimonadetes bacterium 13_1_40CM_4_69_5 13_1_40cm_4_scaffold_3118, whole genome shotgun sequence.